ACCUGCGAUGGUGAAAUGUGAGUGUUCACACAGAUUGUCUGAUGACUGUAAGACGAGCAAGCGUCUGCGAAGAGACUUUGAGUCCCCUUCGUCUAGAGGCCUAGGACACCGCCCUUUCACGGCGGUAACAGGGGUUCGAAUCCCCUAGGGGACGCCACUUUGCUCGGGGUAUUGGGUGAAAGACGGUGCCGGCCUUAUUGCUAAGCGGGUUUGUCAGCCGGUUUAGCAAUAAUUGCUCUUUAACAAUCUGGAACAAGCUGAAAAUUUGAAACAAUCAGUAGCGUCGGAAGACGGUAUUGAUGAGUCUCUCAAAACUCCAGUCCGAAGACACCUUCGGGUUGUGA
rnacentral:misc_RNA from 1 species